CAGCACAAACUGCAGGAGGUGAAGAUGCGGUCGGUUCCCUUUUCCUUUCGGUCUUCAUGUCACCAUGAAAAGACGAUUCAGCGUCUUUUCAACACAUCGGAGCUAAUUUUGAUUUUGAUUAUAUGUUUUUUGUGGGUAAAUUCUUUCCCACACAUCGUGGACGCUGUGUUUCUUCAGAGCGAGGACUCCUGCGCUCUUGGCGCAAAAGCCUCAUCGCCAUGAUGCGCUUCAGCUGCUGGAAGCCUCCAAACUUGAGAUGAUGACGUCCUGCAAGAGAAAAUCCUGCAUCCGUGAACACAAGAUGGAAAUCUGCAGGUAGCGACGCAGAAACCUCCAGCCUCGGGCAGCAGCUGAACAAGUGGAGCCCUGUUCCCCCUCUCUGCAGCAUGGGAUGAGGAGACGGGAACAUAAAGGCGAGCAUGUGUUGGGAAUGUCAAAAGGCUUCAUUAUCUGCAGCUCGGGUUCUCCAUGUCAUCGCUGAGACCACAGAACAGACGCGCAUCGGGGGGUCGCGGUCGGUUCUGCAGCAGGACGCACGCCUGUUCUCUAUUUGCAUUUGUCGCAGCGGCUGUCAGAGAGAUCACAUUUCACCCUGAAAGGCGCACUGUGAAGAGAUGAACACUCACUGGUCAUGACACACAUGGAGGAACCACACUUGUGCAACGUCAGCUGUUCGUGUUAGUGCUGCUGCGGUCAAGAGAGAUGUGUAACGUUAUUAUCUUUAGGUUCCAGAGAGACACAAACAGCGUUGUGUUGCAAGAGUGUUGUUUUUUUUAUUUUUGUGCUGCUGGCAGGUGGAGCGACGUGUUGACGGUUUGAAACCCACUGUGUUGAGGUCUGGAGCCAGUGAGCACAGAGACAUGAGGUACAGAUCAAACCAAAUCCCUGUUAUUGAUAACAUUUCAUAUUUAUUAGUCUCAUUCAUUAUGUAGAACUGUUAAUUAAAUAAAGUGUUUUAUGAUAAUUAACACUUGAAUGCAUUUACUGACGUCACUAUACAUCCCUUGGAUAUUGUAUGUGUCUGAAUUCAGUGUAUUAUUACAAAAUAAAAUACAAAAAGAAAUUGAAUUGUUGCAUUUCCUCCCUUCACUGUACAUAGUGUUGAACAUCUAAAUGAAACAUGUA